GUAAGGCAACGGGUUUUGGUCCCGUUACUCGGAGGUUCGAAUCCUUCCGUCCCAGG
rnacentral:tRNA from 1 species